UGGGUGCUUGUUCUUGAUGGCAAAAAGCUU
rnacentral:piRNA from 1 species